rnacentral:lncRNA from 10 species
UUCAGGAGCAGGGUGUCCCCUGGAGGAUCCUCCUCCCUUUCCCUGGGGGAAUGGAGCCUGGGAAGGAGACAGCUGGUGCUGGGGUCAGGGUAGCAGCUGGAGAUGGGGCAGCAGGGCACCUCCCGAGACAGCAUCGUGCACCUACGAGCAUCUGGAGUUGGUCCAGGCCAGGUCUACUGCUCCAAUGCAGUACAGACACCUACUGACCCAGAAAAAAACGGCCAAUUGCUGACAAACGAGCCUGCCAGAAUGAAAAUAAAGAACAAAGACAACAAAGAAAACAGCCGACAGGAACAGGAUCUUGGGAGCCAAAUAUCAGGUGGGUGAGUGGUCACUGCCCCCAACAUUGUACUGGGCGAAUAGUGCCCCUCUAAAACUCUUGUCCACCUGGAACUUCAGCAUGUGACUUUAUUUGGAAAUAGGGUCUUUGCAGAUGUAAUUAGAUAAGAUUUUACUGGGUUUGGCUGGUUAUAAAUCCAAUGACCGUUCUCUAAGUCCAUGUAAAGACACAGACACACACGCGGGAGGAGGAAGGCCAUGUGGUGAUGAAGGCAGAGGUGGGAAUGAUGCAGCUACAAGCCAAGGAAAGCCAGGGAUUGCCAGCACCAACCCAAGCUGGGAGGAGGCACGGAGGGGUGCUUCCCGUAAACCAAAAAGUGCCUGAGUCAGGUAUCAAUCAAUGCAGAGGUUUAUUUUGCCAAGGUUAAGGACACAUGCCUAGGAGACAGGUCGGUGCCUUUCUCCAAGGAUGAUUCUGAGGGCCUCAAUAUUUAAAGGAGAAAAGCAGGCUCAAGGGAAAAGAGGUCACAUAACUGAAUCCAUGUGUUGCAAGAGAAAAGGAGUAGGUAGGGGAAUGGUCAAUUAUGUAUUCCUCUCAAGCUCACCAUUAGAUAAGGUGAACACAGAGUAGCUACUGUGGAGAUAUUUUACUUUUUAUCUGUAGCUAUCUGCUCAGGAAAAAAAAAAAGAAGGCAGCUUCUUCUAUGACUCAGCUUUCAGCUUAAUAUGUUUUUCUUUUAGCAGGGUGAAUUGGGGUCCCAAGUUUUUCUUUUCUUUGGCAGAGUGAAUUGGGGUCCCAAGUUUGUUCAUUCUUUCUUGCUUGCUUGCUUACUUGCUUUCUUGCUUUUUUUUUUUUUUUUUUCAGGGUCUCACUCUGUCACCCUGGCUAGAGUGCAGUGGUGCAAUCUCAACUCACUGCAGUGUCAACCUUCUGGGCUCGAGUGAUCCUCCCACCUCAGCCUCCUGAGUAACUGGGACCACAGGUGCAUACUACCACACCUGGCUAAUUUUUGUAUUUUUCGUAGAGACGGGGUUUUGCUAUGUUCCCCAGGCUGGUCGUGAACUCCUGAACUCAAGCAAUCCCCCUGCCUUGGCCUCCCAGAGUGUUGGGAUUACAGGCGUGAGACACCAUGCCCGGCCUGGGCUCCCAAGUUUUUACUUUGCUUUCACGUUCCCUGGAGUCUUCAGAGGGAGCAUGGCUCUGUUGACACCGUGAUUUCUGACUUUUGGCCUCCAGAACUGCGGGACAAUACAUGUCUGUUGUUUAAAGCCACCCAGUUUGUGAUAAUUACAGCAGCCCUAGGAAGCAAUAUACUUAGUAUGGAAAAACAAUGUGAAAUUUCUCAUUAGUAAUUUUUUAUGUGAAUUAAAUGAUUGAUUUGAUAAUAUUCAUUUGGGUUAAUACAAAUAUAUUGGAUUAAAUAAAAUAUAGUAUUAAAAUGAAUCUCACUUUUUUUUUUUUACUUCUUACAAAAUAUGGUGAUUAGAAAACACUAGGUUGCAUGGGUGACUUAUUUAUGGCUUGC